GGGAAUGUUUGAAAACAACCAUCAACCUUGAACUUCCUGAUUUCGAAGCAGAUUUAAAUAAAGACGCUUGGUUUUGGGACACUCGACUGAGCACAGAAAACAGUUGGGAGGUGAGGGGUUUAGUUGAUACAUUCUUCAUGUAGAUUGGAUGUAAGGCAAGGAAAAGGAGAGAUCUCAAAUCUUUGUGUUGAACCCGGUGUGUGAAUUUGAGGAGAGUGACUGCAUUGCUUUGGCUAAUUUCUGAUAGUCAUCAAUUUGGGCCAUUUCGUGGCAACUUAAAUUAUCCACUCCAGUUACCUCAAACAAUUUCCAUUGCUUCAUUUUCUCUCAGCCCCUCUCUUCCCCUCCUGCCUGCUUUCUCUUUGUCCCUUUGUCCUCCUUGUUCUCUCCACCAGUCUCUCUUUCCUCCGUGUCUGUUACUUUCCAACACCUUUUCUCGUUCUUUUUCUUUCACUCCCACCUUUCCCCACUGAUUCAGUCACUGUCCUUCUUUCUCCUUUCUCCGUACUCCUGCUAUCCCCCUCUCCCCCUCUCCCCACCUCCCCUUUCUUUUUUUCCUCUCUUUCCAUUUCUGGCUCUCUCUACCUUUUCUUUAAAAUUCCUUAUCUUCCCUCCUCUCCCCCCAGCCCCUGAAGAGGUCCCUGUACUCUGUUAACCUUGAAGGCAAGGACGAAAUCGGCGUGGAGUUGGACUGUAUUGUUCUUUUUAAAAAAACCCUCAAAAUAUCUGUUCCCUAGCGGCAGCUCCGAGUGUUAAAGAGCAAUGCAGAUGUAUUGUGAAAAAGCAAUAAAGCACAGCCCGAGGGCCCUCUCAGGAGCUCGUGAAAUACAUGAGCAGCAACCAAUAUGAGUUUGCACAUUCAGGCUGGGACAGGGGACAAUAAAAAAAAAUGGUUGAUACGACUCUUGAACAACACACGCGAUUUUAUUUUUUUCUCUCUGUUGUCUAUGGGACGCUGAAGUCCAGUGUCACUGUCUAGUCCUUGUCGGGACUGAGUGAAGUGGGGGAGAAGUGUGUGUUGGACCGCGACACGUCACGGACAAUGGAGCUUUGCCCAAGUCUUCAGGGAAAACCGCCACCCCGACACAAGGACUGGGUCAGACAAUGAGUAUUGACACUCCGAACUGAUUGGUAAUUUAUAGAUAUGCCAAGGGCCAGAUGAACACUGCACUACAAUCAAAGGAUUUCCGAGGCAGGUGGAUGGACAUGGUGUGGAAUUGUCCAACAAGAGAUUCAUCAAAGUCCGUGAGUUGAAAGCUUCUUUCCAUAGUGAGGAUGAAUAUUGCCAGUGCCUACACCAAGAUCCCACUGGAUGUGAUGGCUCAAUGAACUGGAGGUUUCAGCUCUAGGGAGCUGUAGACAGCAGAGGAAAUGUAACUCGCUUCAGCAAAGUCUUUGGAGUAAAUGUGAAGGAAACACAAUACACAUACUAAUUAAUUGUCCUUUGUUCAAAUAUAUCUUUAUUCUGUAUGUUCUUGGGACAGAUGUGUCAUUGGCAAAGCCAGUACUUAUUGUCCAAACCUGGUGUCUGUGAGGGUAUGAAGAUUCAACCAUGUACCAAGGGAAUGGAGUUAUGUAUAGGCCAAAUCAGGUAGAGGUAAUGACUACCUGUGAGUAAACCAGGUGGAUCAAUAGAUUUAUGGUUACAGUCUGAGCUUGAUCCAUUGUUUGAUUAAAUUUGGCAAUAUACCUUAUUGGGAAUUGAACCUGUGGAUCAGUAGCCCUGUAGUUUAAACAAUUGGAUACCAUACUAGUUUGAUGCAUAUACAUGCAUCAAAUUUCAACCAAAAAAGUGAUGCACUUUAUAGUAAAGUUCUAAAUAUUAGCAAUUAUUGAUCAAGACCACUAACAAAACAAUGCUCCUCCCUCAGGAAGAUAAACAUAUACUGGGUUUCUCAAUUGCCUGUUCUUCAGGGACAUCUGGACACUGAUCUCUUGUAUUUCUUUGUUUGUAGCUCCACCAGAGAGAGAGAGAGAGAGAGAGAGAGAGAACUGUGCAUUGUCUGAGGUCUCUCUAUCCUUCACCUGUCUUUCAGAGAGAGGUCUGUGCAUUGACUAAGAUCUUUCAGUCCCUUGGAAAGAGAUCUGUGCAUCGAUUGAGAUCUCAGUCCCUCAGAAAGAGAUCCAUGCAUUGCCUGAGAUCUCUGUGUUUCAGAGAGAAAUCUGUGUAUUGAGUGGGCUCUCAGUCUUUCAGAGAAAUAUCAGUGCAUUGACAGGGGUCUCUCUUCCUUUUUCUUUGCUGCAGGAAUGCCUGAACAAUGUGACAAGAGAGAGUCCUAUCAUUUCAAUCCCGAGACCAAUUUGAAUUGACUUGAAAGCAGGCUUCCUGUGCUGUCUGACUGUAAAGGUUUUGUGUGAAAUGAACAAUAUCAGCUCCUGUAUGUAACAGGAAAUUUUAUUCAUUUUUGUACGAGGAGUGGGGUUUUCAAUUCCAUUGGUUAUAUAAUAUUGUUGGUGAAAUAACCACGUGUCUCUACAUGAUGGAGCAGCUGGUCAAUGAUGUG